AGUAGUGUAGCUCAGUGAUAGAGCACUUGCCUAGCAAGCAUGAGGCCGUGGGUUGAAUCUUCAGCACUGCAG
rnacentral:tRNA from 1 species